CUCUUUCCCCCGCCUCCUCUCCUAGCCUCCCCAUCUCUCCUCUACCCCAAUCUUCCCCUACCCUCUCCUCUGCUUGCCCGGCCUCCCCCUUCUGACUCUUCUCUCCCCUCCUUGUAUCCCCCAUCUUGCCUCCCUGCUUCCCACAUCCGACCACCCAACCUCUCUCCUCAGACGUGGACGAAUGUCGCGAGCGAGGCCCAGCCCUGUGCGGGUCGCAGCGCUGUGAGAACUCUCCCGGGUCCUACCGCUGUGUGCGGGACUGCGAUCCUGGGUACCACGCGGGCCCCGAGGGCACUUGUGACGAUGUGAAUGAGUGUGAAACACUACAGGGUGUAUGUGGAGCUGCCCUGUGUGAAAAUGUAGAAGGCUCCUUCCUCUGUGUCUGCCCCAACAGCCCGGAGGAGUUUGACCCCAUGACUGGACGCUGUGUUCCCCCACGAACUUCUGCUGGCACGUUCCCAGGCUCGCAGCCCCAGGCACCUGCCAGCCCCGUUCUGCCGGCCAGGCCACCU
rnacentral:sRNA from 1 species